rnacentral:rRNA from 1 species
GAUGAACGCUGGCGGCAUGCCUUACACAUGCAAGUCGAACGGCAGCACGGGAGCUUGCUCCUGGUGGCGAGUGGCGAACGGGUGAGUAAUAUAUCGGAACGUGCCCAGUAGUGGGGGAUAGCCCGGCGAAAGCCGGAUUAAUACCGCAUGAGACCUGAGGGUGAAAGCGGGGGAUCGCAAGACCUCGCGCUACUGGAGCGGCCGAUAUCAGAUUAGCUAGUUGGUGGGGUAAAGGCCUACCAAGGCAACGAUCUGUAGUUGGUCUGAGAGGACGACCAGCCACACUGGGACUGAGACACGGCCCAGACUCCUACGGGAGGCAGCAGUGGGGAAUUUUGGACAAUGGGCGCAAGCCUGAUCCAGCAAUGCCGCGUGCAGGAAGAA